GGGCCUUAAACAUGCAAGUCGAACGGUAAGGCUCCAGCUUGCUGGGGUACACGAGUGGCGAACGGGUGAGUAACACGUGGGUGACCUGCCCUGCACUUCGGGAUAAGCCUGGGAAACUGGGUCUAAUACCGGAUAGGACCGCACCGUGAGGGUGUGGUGGAAAGUUUUUUCGGUGUGGGAUGGGCCCGCGGCCUAUCAGCUUGUUGGUGGGGUAAUGGCCUACCAAGGCGGCGACGGGUAGCCGGCCUGAGAGGGUGGACGGCCACAUUGGGACUGAGACACGGCCCAGACUCCUACGGGAGGCAGCAGUGGGGAAUAUUGCACAAUGGGCGGAAGCCUGAUGCAGCGACGCCGCGUGGGGGAUGACGGCCUUCGGGUUGUAAACUCCUUUCACCAUCGACGAAGGGUUUCUGACGGUAGAUGGAGAAGAAGCACCGGCUAACUACGUGCCAGCAGCCGCGGUAAUACGUAGGGUGCGAGCGUUGUCCGGAAUUACUGGGCGUAAAGAGCUCGUAGGUGGUUUGUCGCGUCGUCUGUGAAAUUCCGGGGCUUAACUCCGGGCGUGCAGGCGAUACGGGCAUAACUUGAGUACUGUAGGGGAGACUGGAAUUCCUGGUGUAGCGGUGAAAUGCGCAGAUAUCAGGAGGAACACCGGUGACGAAGGCGGGUCUCUGGGCAGUAACUGACGCUGAGGAGCGAAAGCAUGGGGAGCGAACAGGAUUAGAUACCCUGGGUAGUCCAUGCCGUAAACGGUGGGCGCUAGGUGUGGGUUUUCUUUCCACGGGAUCCGUGCAGUAGCUAACGCAUUUACCGCCCCGCCUCGGGAGUACGGCCGCAAGGCUCAAAGGAAUUGACGGGGACCCGCACCAGCGGCGGAAGCAUGUGGAUUAAUUCAGAUGCAACGCGAAGAACCUUACCUGGGCUUGACAUAUACAGGAUCGCGCCAGAGAUGGUGUUUUCCUUGUGGCUUGUAUACAGGUGGUGCAUGGUUGUCGUCAGCUCGUGUCGUGAGAUGUUGGGUUAAGUCCCGCAACGAGCGCAACCCUUGUCUUAUGUUGCCAGCACGUUGUGGUGGGGACUCGUAAGAAACUGCCGGGGUUAACUCGGAGGAAGGUGGGGAUGACGUCAAAUCAUCAUGCCCCUUAUGUCCAGGGCUUCACACAUGCUACAAUGGUCGGUACAGUGGGUUGCCAGUCCGUGAGGGCGAGCUAAUCCCGCAAAGCCGGUCUCAGUUCGGAUCGGGGUCUGCAACUCGACCCCGUGAAGUCGGAGUCGCUAGUAAUCGCAGAUCAGCAACGCUGCGGUGAAUACGUUCCCGGGCCUUGUACACACCGCCCGUCACGUCAUGAAAGUCGGUAACACCCGAAGCCAGUGGCCUAAC
rnacentral:rRNA from 1 species